rnacentral:tRNA from 1 species
GGUCGUGUAGCUCAGCGGGAGAGCACUACGUUGACAUCGUAGGGGUCACAGGUUCAAUCCCUGUCACGACCA